GAUGAACGCUGGCGGCGUGCCUAAUACAUGCAAGUCGAGCGAACGGCGAGAAGCUUGCUUCUCUGAUGUUAGCGGCGGCCGGGUGAGUAACACGUGGAUAACCUACCUAUAAGCCUGGGAUAACUUCGGGAAACCGGAGCUAAUACCGGAUGAUAUUUUGAACCGCAUGGUUCAAAAGUGAAAGACGGUCUUGCUGUCACUUAUAGAUGGAUCCGCGCUGCAUUAGCUAGUUGGUAAGGUAACGGCUUACCAAGGCAACGAUGCAUAGCCGACCUGAGAGGGUGAUCGGCCACACUGGAACUGAGACACGGUCCAGACUCCUACGGGAGGCAGCAGUAGGGAAUCUUCCGCAAAGGGCGAAAGCCUGACGGAGCAACGCCGCGUGAGUGAUGAAGGUCUUCGGAUCGUAAAACUCUGUUAUUAGGGAAGAACAUAUGUGUAAGUAACUGUGCACAUCUUGACGGUACCUAAUCAGAAAGCCACGGCUAACUACGUG
rnacentral:rRNA from 1 species